GACGAACGCUGGCGGCGUGCCUAAUACAUGCAAGUUGAGCGAUGAAGCUUGGUGCUUGCACCAAUUUGAAGAGCAGCGAGCGGGUGAGUAACGCGUGGGGAAUCUGCCUUUGAGCGGGGGACAACAUUUGGAAACGAAUGCUAAUACCGCAUAACAACUUUAAACAUAAGUUUUAAGUUUGAAAGAUGCAAUUGCAUCACUCAAAGAUGAUCCCGCGUUGUAUUAGCUAGUUGGUGAGGUAAAGGCUCACCAAGGCGAUGAUACAUAGCCGACCUGAGAGGGUGAUCGGCCACAUUGGGACUGAGACACGGCCCAAACUCCUACGGGAGGCAGCAGUAGGGAAUCUUCGGCAAUGGACGAAAGUCUGACCGAGCAACGCCGCGUGAGUGAAGAAGGGUUUCGGAUCGUAAAACUCUGUUGGUAGAGAAGAACGUUGGUGAGAGUGGAAAGCUCAUCAAGUGACGGUAACUACCCAGAAAGGGACGGCUAACUACGUG
rnacentral:rRNA from 1 species